rnacentral:rRNA from 1 species
CAAGGUCUCCGUUGGUGAACCAGCGGAGGGAUCAUUACUGAGUUUACCGCUCUAUAACCCUUUGUGAACAUACCUUACUGUUGCUUCGGCGGGCAGGACGGCGGCCUCGGCCCCGGCCUCCCGGCCUCCGCCCCCUCUGCGGGGCGGCGGGCGCCCGCCGGAGGAUAACCAAACUCUGUUUUAACGUCGUCUCUUCUGAGUGGCACAAGCAAAUAAAUAAAAACUUUUAACAACGGAUCUCUUGGUUCUGGCAUCGAUGAAGAACGCAGCGAAAUGCGAUAAGUAAUGUGAAUUGCAGAAUUCAGUGAAUCAUCGAAUCUUUGAACGCACAUUGCGCCCGCCAGCAUUCUGGCGGGCAUGCCUGUUCGAGCGUCAUUUCAACCCUCAAGCUCAGCUUGGUGUUGGGGCCCUACGCCUGGCGUAGUCCCCUAAAGGUAGUGGCGGACCCUCUCGGAGCCUCCUUUGCGUAGUAACUAACGUCUCGCACUGGGAUCCGGAGGGACCUCUCGCCGUAAAACCCCCAAUUUUUCUUAGGUUGACCUCGGAUCAGGUAGGAAUACCCGCUGAACUUAAGC